rnacentral:miRNA from 1 species
UGGCAGUGUAGUUAGCUGGUUGC